rnacentral:rRNA from 1 species
GCCUAACACAUGCAAGUCGAACGCCCGUAGCAAUACGGGAGUGGCAGACGGGUGAGUAACGCGUGGGAACGUACCUUUCGGUUCGGAAUAACCCGGGGAAACUCGGGCUAAUACCGGAUACGUCCGCAAGGAGAAAGAUUUAUCGCCGAAAGAUCGGCCCGCGUCGGAUUAGCUAGUUGGUGAGGUAACGGCCCACCAAGGCGACGAUCCGUAGCUGGUCUGAGAGGAUGAUCAGCCACACUGGGACUGAGACACGGCCCAGACUCCUACGGGAGGCAGCAGUGGGGAAUAUUGGACAAUGGGCGAAAGCCUGAUCCAGCCAUGCCGCGUGAGUGAAGAAGGCCUUAGGGUUGUAAAGCUCUUUCAGCGGGGAAGAUAAUGACGGUACCCGCAGAAGAAGUCCCGGCUAACUUCGUGCCAGCAGCCGCGGUAAU